GCAUAUAUGGCUGAGUGGUCGAAAGCAAUGGACUCAUAAUCCAUUACCUAUUUUAGGACAACGUGGGUUCAAAUCCUACUAUAUGCA
rnacentral:tRNA from 1 species